rnacentral:rRNA from 1 species
GAUGAACGCUGGCGGCGUGCCUAAUACAUGCAAGUCGAGCGGACAGACGAGGAGCUUGCUCCUCUGACGUUAGCGGCGGACGGGUGAGUAACACGUGGAUAACCUACCUAUAAGACUGGGAUAACUUCGGGAAACCGGAGCUAAUACCGGAUAAUAUAUUGAACCGCAUGGAUCAAUAGUGAAAGACGGUUUUGCUGUCACUUAUAGAUGGAUCCGCGCCGCAUUAGCUAGUUGGUAAGGUAACGGCUUACCAAGGCGACGAUGCGUAGCCGACCUGAGAGGGUGAUCGGCCACACUGGAACUGAGACACGGUCCAGACUCCUACGGGAGGCAGCAGUAGGGAAUCUUCCGCAAUGGGCGAAAGCCUGACGGAGCAACGCCGCGUGAGUGAUGAAGGUCUUCGGAUCGUAAAACUCUGUUAUUAGGGAAGAACAAAUGUGUAAGUAACUAUGCACGUCUUGACGGUACCUAAUCAGAAAGCCACGGCUAACUACGUG